rnacentral:lncRNA from 1 species
CUUUCAAUUAUCCUUUUUCUUUUCUUUUUAUCUCACCAUUGCUUCGACUAGCUUGGAUUGAAUUGACAGUACUAGGUAACGUGUAUAUACGUGGUCCAUGUCCAGGCAUGCAUGGAGUGAUUAAUAAUUAAUCUUAAUUUAAUCAUGCUAACAUAUAUUGCAUGUACACGUUCAAGGUUUGUGGGUGGCAACUAUACGUGCCAUCAAUUGUUUUCUUUUUGUUUAAUCAUCAAUCAUAGAGAUGUUUAACACCUAUAUGUGUGUGACUUCAUAUGUAUAUUUUGUAUAGCCACCGUAUUACUUUGACUACGAUGUGAUAAUAUUUUGUCGGGUCACCGGAUGGAUAUCAAUUUUUAUCCCACGGUCAAUAUCUUGGAAACAUCGUUGCCGUCCCUGAUUGUGUAAAUUUAAUUCAUGUUUAGAACUCCACCGCCGGUGGCGACAUUUGUUUAUGUGAUAUGUGUGUUUAUAUCGGUGCAUUUAG